GCCAGCGACACCACACGUCCCUCACUGUGUGCUUGAGUGCCCUCGUGUCCGUGAGUCACCCGUGUCCUGUGGCGUACCUAAGCGUCAGUAAAGGUGUUGUCGCGGCCUCGACAGGUGAGGGGGAGAGAGAGUCUUCAUCAAGGCGCUACACACCUGCAGGCUAUAAGGCAGACAGCCUCCCACGCCAGCCCCACGCCAGACCCACACCAGACCCACGCCAGACCCUCUCAUCACGCCAGACCCCUCACCACGCCUCUCCACGCCCCUCGAUUCCUGCAAACACCGCCGGGGAAAAUUUGUUGAGCGAAAAUAGAGAUAUUAUCUGACCUAAGCUGCCGCGCGCCGAUUCCUCAAAACUAGACUUCGCCGACGGGGAGUGAAAGGUGGCGAAGACCUUGCAGGCUCACGUAGACGAGGCGAUGACCUUGUGGACGCCAGCAGUAACAACCAGAACAUGAGGAAGAGGAGGAAGGAGGAGGAGGACGAGCAGAGACCAAGCAACGGAGACGCAAAGAGAAGAAGAGGUAUGUGAAAGAUAAUGAUAAGUAAAAGAAUAAGGAAUAGGAGGAAGAAAGGAAUAUGAGAGGAAAGAGGUACAGAAAGAUUGUAACUCUUGAAAGAAUAAGAAGGAAUAGGAGGAGAUGAGAUAAGGACCAGGAAACAAAGAAAGUAGCACAAAAAAAAGUAUGAAAAAAAAGUUAUAAAAAGUGAAAGAAUAAGGAAGAGGCGAAGGAGGAGAAGGAAAAAGUAGAGAAUAACAGACAGAGACGAAGUAGUGGAGAAACUAACAGAGAAAAUAUAUGCAAGAAUCUAACAAGUGAAAGAAAGAGAAACAAUAGGCGGAGUAGCAGCGGAGACCGUAGGAGGGAGAGGAGGAGAAGAAGGAGAAGGAGAGAUAGAGAGCGAAGGAGAACGAAGGAGCCCAGUUGGUUAUCGCUCCAAGCCUUCCAUUAAGCCCAUGGUAUCACUUACAGCGGGGCGGCUUGAGUGAGGGAGGGCGUGAGGGCGACAGGAGGGAUUUGUGUGGUUAAACAGACUUUUGCACUCGCCUCCCGCGGCCUCAGAAGGGUUACGCGGGAGUCUGUCUGUUUGGCUCCACCUCCCAACCCACUCUAGCGGAAGAAAAAGGGAAGAGAAAAUCCUAACACUGCAAAAUAGAUGCUCAUUUGGUUCACGUAGU